rnacentral:rRNA from 1 species
UAAGCAUAUCAAUAAGCGGAGGAAAAGAAACCAACAGGGAUUGCCCCAGUAACGGCGAGUGAAGCGGCAACAGCUCAAAUUUGAAAUCUGGCUCUCGGGCCCGAGUUGUAAUUUGUAGAGGAUGCUUUUGGUGAGGUGCCUUCCGAGUUCCCUGGAACGGGACGCCAUAGAGGGUGAGAGCCCCGUCUGGUUGGACACCGAUCCUCUGUAAAGCUCCUUCGACGAGUCGAGUAGUUUGGGAAUGCUGCUCUAAAUGGGAGGUAUAUGUCUUCUAAAGCUAAAUACCGGCCAGAGACCGAUAGCGCACAAGUAGAGUGAUCGAAAGAUGAAAAGAACUUUGAAAAGAGAGUUAAAAAGUACGUGAAAUUGUUGAAAGGGAAGCGCUUGUGACCAGACUUGGGCUUGGUUGAUCAUCCGGGGUUCUCCCCGGUGCACUCUUCCGGCUCAGGCCAGCAUCAGUUCGCCCUGGGGGAUAAAGGCUUCGGGAAUGUGGCUCUCUCCGGGGAGUGUUAUAGCCCGCUGCGUAAUACCCUGUGGCGGACUGAGGUUCGCGCAUUCGCAAGGAUGCUGGCGUAAUGGUCAUCAGUGA